rnacentral:rRNA from 1 species
CAGCGACAGGGAGGAGCCCAGCGCCGAAUCUCUGGCGCGCCAGCGCGCCAGCGACAUGUGGCGUUCGGGAGGGUCCGUUAUUCCGGGGCUCGCCGUGCCGAGUCCAAGUCCUUCUUGAACGGGGCCACGGUCCGUAGAGGGUGCCAGACCCGUAGCGGCCGACGGCGUCCCCGGGUGGACCUCUCCUUAGAGUCGGGUUGCUUGAGAGUGCAGCCUAAAGCGGGUGGUAAACUCCAUCUAAGGCUAAAUAUCACCACGAGACCGAUAGCCAACAAGUACCGUGAGGGAAAGUUGAAAAGAACUUUGAAGAGAGAGUUCAAUAGUACGUGAAACCGUUCAGGGGUAAACGGGGAAGACUUGAAAAUCCGAAAGGAGAGAUUCACGUCUUCCGCUGGUCCCGUCAAGCCCGUCCGCGUAUGGCCGUACCCCCUCGCUCUGGCUCCGGCUCGGGCGACGGUGGGUCGGCCGGCCGGGCGGGCGCGGCGGGGCUGCGGAGGACCGCACUUCUCUCCCAGUAGGACGUCGCGACCCGUUCGGAGGCAGGCCUGAUGCCGGGCCGUAAGUCUCGAGACCGCCGCGGCCUUCGGGUCGUCGGCGCUCGGGUGGGCCUAGUGCAGGGUAGCGUUACGGACGGUAGUUAUAGACGGUGCUGAACCGCUCCUCGGAGCGCCUUCGGCCACCUCCGAGUCGGUCGUCGAGCGCGGACGCGGGCCUUCCGGGGCCCGCUCCGCUUCGCCUCCGGCUGUCGGGUUGUGGUCCUGGGGCGGUGUUCACGUCACCCGUCGGCGACGCCGCAGUUUCGAGCUCUUACCCGACCCGUCUUGAAACACGGACCAAGGAGUCCAACGUGUGCGCGAGUCGUUGGGCGUCAAACCCAAAGGCGCAAUUAAGGUGAAGGGGAGCUUGUCUCUCCUAGGGAGGAGGGGGGCACCGCGCCUCACGGGCGGACUCCCCGCACUCCCGCGGCGUCUCAGGCUCAUCGCGAGCCGAGGCGGACCUAGAGCGUUCACGUUGGGACCCGAAAGAUGGUGAACUAUGCCUGGCCAGGACGAAGCCAGGGGAAACCCUGGUGGAGGUCCGUAGCGGUUCUGACGUGCAAAUCGAUCGUCGGAGCUGGGUAUAGGGGCGAAAGACUAAUCGAACCAUCUAGUAGCUGGUUCCCUCCGAAGUUUCCCUCAGGAUAGCUGGCGCCCAGGUUGAGACGAGUCUCAUCUGGUAAAGCGAAUGAUUAGAGGCAUUGGGGUCGAAACGACCUCAACCUAUUCUCAAACUUUAAAUGGAUGAGAACCCCGGCUUGCUUGAUCGAGUGAAGCUGGGGCUCGGAUCCGGGUGCCAAGUGGGCCAUUUUUGGUAAGCAGAACUGGCGCUGUGGGAUGAACCAAACGCCGAGUUAAGGCGCCUAAAUCGACGCUCAUCAGACACCAUGAAAGGCGUUGGUUGCUUAAGACAGCAGGACGGUGGCCAUGGAAGUCGGAAUCCGCUAAGGAGUGUGUAACAACUCACCUGCCGAAGCAACUAGCCCUGAAAAUGGAUGGCGCUGUAGCGUCGUGCCUAUACUCGGCCGCCAACGGCAAACCCGGCAAGGUCCCGCGAGGGGCCGGCCGCCGUUACGCCUUGGUGAGUAGGAGGGCCGCGGCGAUGUGCGCAGAAGGGUCAAGGCGUGAGCCUGCCUGGAGCCGUCGCCGGCGCAGAUCUUGGUGGUAGUAGCAAAUACUCCAGCGAGGCCCUGGAGGACUGAUGUGGAGAAGGGUUUCUUGUGAACAGCCGUUGCACAAGAGUCAGUCGGUCCUAAGCCCUAGGAGAAAUCCGAUGCCGAUGGGCGCCGUUACGCCAAAGUCUCUCCCGCGCCGUAAGGGUCCGGCUCCGGCCCACGGCCCGACAAGGCGACGGGAAGACCCCAGCAGUUGGCGCCCUAGGACGGGCGAAAGGGAAUCCGGUUCCUAUUCCGGAACCUGGCAGCGGAACCGUUCCAAGUCGGGCCCUCUGACGAGAGCUCGUCGGGGUAACCCAAAAGGACCCGGAGACGCCGUCGGGAGAUCCAGGGAGAGUUGUCUCUUCUCUAUAAGCGUUCGAGUUCCCUGGAAACCUCUAGCAGGGAGAUAGGGUUUGGAGCGCAAAGAGCACCGCAGUUACGGCGGUGUCUGGAUCUUCCCCUCGGACCUUGAAAAUCCGGGUGAGGGCUACGAGGAACACCGCGCCAGACCGUACCCAUAUCCGCAGCAGGUCUCCAAGGUCAACAGCCUCUAGUCGUUAGAAUAAUGUGGGUAAGGGAAGUCGGCAAACUGGAUCCGUAACCUUGGGAUAAGGAUUGGCUCUGAGGAUCGUGGUGAGCCGGGCUUGGUUGGGAAGUGGAGCGGUGUCAACGAUCCGGGCCUGGGCGAGGAGAGCGGCGCUCCGGCGUCGACGAUCCUCCGCUCGGUCCCGUGACUUGGCCACCCACGGAUCUUCCUUGCUGCGAGCUGUCGGCUGCCUAGUCACCGGUCUCGGCCGGAGGACGGGC